GUGAGACCCAAUAAAAAAAAGUAGGUUCAGCGUUUCUUACACACAGGGAAGUCAGUGCCCAAGAAGCAGUUUAUAGAAUACUACCACUCCCCAUUAAAAAGAUGAGCAGGACUGUAUUGUUUGUUGAUACCAAUCCCAAAAAAGACAGAAUCGGUGUAUUAAAGCCUUCUUCUGCAAUCGAGAACCUUGAUGACGAUGACCCUAACGUAUUUUGUAAGAACCUAGUAGAGAGGUAUCAACACAGACCAAUUGAGCUUGCAAAUAUAUCUCUAGCUGAUUUUGCUGCUAAUUAUAGUACCGAAUAUAAAGCUGCAGACGACGAUACUGGUGACACUGAUGUACUUCCAUCUGAUGCCAACUGUACUGAGAAUACAGCACGUAAAAUUACACUCACAGGUGGAUUCGGUAAAAUGAAUAAACGUAAUCGGGAAGCAAUCAUAAGGUUCACAAAGUACAAUAAGGAGAAAGACCCCAGUAACUGGUAUAGAGCCAAAUUGAUGCUUUAUUUCCCAUGGUACAGUGAGGAAACAGAUUUGUUAGGUGGCUAUUAGCAACCUUUGAAGAGCAUUUCCGUAAUGUCCAAUCGUCUGUGAUAGCUAAUGAGAAAAAGUACACACUGUCUGACGUAGAAAAUAUUGAAAUUGAUGAGGACGGCCCUCCAUAGCAUGCUUGGGAUCAAGUAGCACCGGGUACUGAAGCUGACAGAGCCCAACAUGAAGCCGAAGGUCCCGAAACUCUAACAGAUUUGUCUGAGCAAGACGUUAGGGACAAUAGUGCAUUGUUUACGUCCACUACCUCUAGUAGCUUACAUGUGCGCUAUGAAGGCGUAGCUAAUCAUGGGGAAAUUCCACCUGAUGAAUACAGAAAGCUUUUAAGAGGUCUUAACAGCAAGCAAAAACAAAUCGUCAUGUUUCACCGUAAUUGGUGCAAGAAAGCUGUGAUAGCAUUAAAGCAUGGUAAACCCAUUGAGCCAUACCGUGUGUUUGUGAGUGGCCCUGGAGGUGUAGGAAAGACGCAUGUUAUCAAACUGAUACAUUCCGAUACUGUUAAAUUGCUUAGGUUGUCUGGCACAAUAGAACCUGACGAUGUUACGGUUUUGCUUACAGCCCCCACUGGUGCAGCAGCAUUUAUUAUAGGUGGCAUGACGUUACAUUCUGCUCUUGUACUAGGUACCAGUAGAUACAGUGGUUUUCAGUCUCUCAGGUUUUCAGUCUCUCAAUCACGAUCGUUUAAACUCCCUACGAAGUAAAUUGUCUAAGUUAGGACUACUGAUCAUUGACGAAAUAAGCAUGGUUGGUUCCAACAUGUUGCUAGAAGUGCACAAGAGACUAGAGCAAAUCAAAGCUGUCAUGCCGGAUAGGAGUACUUUUGGUGGUGUCAGUAUAUUAGCAGUAGGAGAUCUUUUUCAAUUACCCCCUGUCUGUCAAACACCUGUUUUUAGUGUCGUCAACGAUAGUUAUGCUAAACUAUACAACUCUGGUUCAUUGUGGUUAGAUGAAUUUCAAAUGAUUGAGCUAGAUGAGAUUAUGAGGCAAAAGGGUGACUCUGUAUUUUGUGAACUUUUGUGUAGGAUUAGAACGGUUACACACAAUGACAAUGACGUCGCUGUGCUAAAGUCCAGGGAAAUUACUCCUCAAAUGCCCAAUUACCCAAACCAUGCUCUACAUGUGUAUAGACUCAAUGCUGACGUUGAUGAGCGUAACAUAACCAUGUUGAAUGCCUUGGUUCCAGAAAGUCAGCAAUAUUCAAUAAAGUCUUACAAUUCUAGAGCUGGUCAAACUAGCCACAUCAACCUGUCAACCCUGUCUGCCAAGAGAUCAGAAACUGGUGGCCUACACGGCAUUUUAAAAAUUGCAAUUGGUGCCAGAGUUAUGCUAACAACCAAUGUUGACGUAGCAGAUGGGCUAGUUAAUGGUGCUAGAGGUGAAAUAGUGAUGGCUGCUGGUAAGGUUACACACAUUCUUGUAAAUUUUGAUCACCCUAAUGUUGGAGUUAAGGCCAGACAAGGUAGUCAAUUUUUGCAAACAUUCCCAACUGCUGUUCCACUAGUAAAACACGAAGCUAUUUUUAAGGCUAAAGGUAAACGAGGCUCUGAAAUUACUCGGUUACAGUUCCCACUGACUCUAGCUUGGGCCACUACUAUACAUAAGGUACAAGGUUUAACACUCGAUGAAAUUGUGGUAGACAUGAAAGGUAGCCGCUUUAGCUCUGGUCAAGCCUAUGUAGCAUUCAGUCGUGUUAAAAAGCUUGAAGGUUUGCAUAUAUUGAACUUUAAUGAGAAGGUUAUUAAAGCGAGUGAUGACGUCAAGACUGAAAUGUCUAGAUUAAAUGAUAGGGUACUCAGCCCUUUGUCCGUUGACACAUGUCCUGAAGAUUACAUCACAAUUACAUUACUCAUUACUCAAUGUGAGAUCACUGCUAGCUAAAGUACCAGACAUUGAAUGUGAUAAAUUAUUUACUUCAGCUGGAAUUCACUGUUUUACUGAAACGUGGUUGCAGUCCGGAAUAGCCAGUCCAUUAAUACAUACAAACCAUCAAUGUUUAAGACUCGAUAGUGUUUCUGGUGAUAGAAAAGGUGGGGUUUUGAUUAGUUUGCCCGAAAAUAUAGAAGUACUGAACUCUUAUGCUUGUGACGUAGAUGAUGUUGCAAUAGAAAUGCUAUGUGCUCUGCUUCAACUACCUAAUGGACAAGCCAUUCAUUUAACUCUUGUGUACCGAUCUCCAAGUGUAUCAAUGAAUGAUUUAUUAGACUACAUGUAUCCCCUGUUGCAGCAUUUAAAAAGCUUUAAUGUAUCUAUUGUCCUAGGUGACUUUAAUGUGGACAUUCUAACUAACACUAAUUCACAAUUAGAAGUAUUAAUGCUUCGUCAUGGUUAUUCUCAGCUAGUGCACACUCCCACUACAGACAACGGUACUCUUAUAGACCAUGUAUAUUGCAAUAGCCUAGCACCAGAGCGUGUUCAUACAAAGGUUACUGAUGUGUACUACUCGGAUCACGAUGCAGUUCUCUGCUCCAUUCCCCUCUAAUGCAUAUAAGUUAGCUACGUCUGUAGAAUAUCGUUCAGUAAGCCUUAAUAUUGUGUCCUGAAUGGAAUUUAAUGUCUGUUAGUCUAUCAGCUUGCACAUCACUAUAAUUAUCUUGAACCCUUGGGAUCACAUACAUUGUGUUUUCCAUGCGAGAUCAUGAUAUGCAAAGAAGCUCAGAAACUAAGAACUCAAACUCUUAAACUUUUUUGUUGUUGCUGCCUUGAUCUUGAAGGUUACUGAUGUGUACUACUCGGAUCACGAUGAAGUUCUCUGCUCCAUUCCCCUCGAAUCUGUCAGUCUAACUACGUGACCUGUACACUUAGUGAGUAUUUGAUGCUAUAGCUCAACUUACUUACAUUACAGACACCUAUAAUUGUUCUUGUGUAUGUCCACACUCUGACCAUGUUCUAUGCUAUACCUUCUCUGAGACAAAUUUGCUAAUUGGUUGAAACCAGUGCAUUUUAUACAGCCUCUUCAGCUAGAUUAUCUCUGCCUGGUUUCAACCGUAACUGCCAUAAGAUUUAUUAAGCAUUCGUUGUACGCUUGUAUACUUUUUUCUGGCUUGGCCAAUCCGUUUUGCUGUUAAUCUAUGACUCUAUGACUCGAUCCGUUUUGCUGUUAAUCUAUGACUCUUAUGACUCAAAGUUUCCAAUCUGUUUUGCUGUUAAUCUAUGACUCUAUGACUCAAAUGACUCAAAUGACUCCUAUGACUCCCAUGACUCCAAUGACUCAAAUGACUCAAAGUUUACUAAGUGUUCAAUUAACUGUUCCUGGUUCCUGGUUCCUGUUGAAGACUAAGAAUGUCUACCGCUGCAGUGAGUUAAAUCCAACCAUGGGCCAUCUUCGACUUGUAGUCCCAAGAAAAUUGAUGAACACUGGCUAAUGUAACGACUUCAAUUUAUUAAUGGCUGUCUUGACAUACUACAACUGUACAUUGUACGCAAGAAUUAUAACUAUGAUAAAAUGGCUCUGCGACACUCAAAAAUUGAAGAAAAUUAAUGAACGAACUAUACUUGCAUAGAGACCUCAAUCUAAUGGCUGUCUUGACGCACAGUUUGUGGCAGAUAACAAACAUACAGCAUACGCAAGAAAAUCGAUAAAACUAUGAACUAUGAUUAUUAUAUAUAAGAGUGACAGCAAAAAUAGAUGUCGCUAUCCUGUUUCUACCUUCGAGCAAUGCUCCCUACUUGAAUUUGGCACUUUAAAUUUUGACAGCCUUCCAAAAGCCACAUGCAUGGUCAGUCACUUUCGGCCUGAAGCCAUGUUUAUACGUGCAGUCAAUUUCGCUUUUAUUUAAUUAUUAUUACAACUAUUUUCAGAAUUUAUUUAUUUAUACGUCCUUUUUUUACACUUACUUUUGUUUAUACUAUUUCUCUUAUUUAUACUACCAUUACUACAUCAUAAUCAUUAUUUUUACACUUACUUUUGUAAUACCAUUCUUAAUAAUUAUUAUUAUUUUUGUUAUCCAUUUUUUAAACUACCAUUACAUCAUCAUUUUUUACACUUACUUUUGUUCUACUAUUUCUCGUCAAAGGAGGUCGACAUCUGCGUGUCAUCCGUGUGUUAAACGCACAUUCCUUAAACGCACAUUCCUGAACUUUGACCUAAGCUUUGACCUAAGGAAUGUGUGUCUACUUUGACACGCGAAUGUCGUACCUCAUCUGAUUUCUCGUUAUCCAUUUCUAAACUACCAUUACUACAUCAUCAUAAUUAUUCAGUCACUGAUCCCUUAUUAUAACACACCAUCUAAACUACCAUUACAUCAUUGUUCAUCAUGUACAUCCAGUCAUCCCACAUGAUUCGUCGUAAUAAAUAAAUAUUAUUCACUAUGAUAA